UACGGGGGGAGCAAGCGUUGUUCGGAUUUACUGGGCGUAAAGGGCGCGUAGGCGGCCACCGCAAGUCGACUGUGAAAUCUCCGGGCUUAACCCGGAAAGGUCAGCCGAUACUGCGGGGCUAGAGUGCAGAAGGGGCAACUGGAAUUCUCGGUGUAGCGGUGAAAUGCGCAGAUAUCAGGAGGAACACCGGUGGCGAAGGCGGGUCUCUGGGCCGAUACUGACGCUGAGGAGCGAAAGCGUGGGUAGCAAACAGG
rnacentral:rRNA from 1 species